CCCGGUAAACGGCGGCCGUAACUAUAACGGUCCUAAGGUAGCGAAAUUCCUUGUCGGGUAAGUUCCGACCUGCACGAAUGGCGUAAUGAUGGCCAGGCUGUCUCCACCCGAGACUCAGUGAAAUUGAACUCGCUGUGAAGAUGCAGUGUACCCGCGGCAAGACGGAAAGACCCCGUGAACCUUUACUAUAGCUUGACACUGAACACUGGUCCUUGAUGUGUAGGAUAGGUGGGAGGCUUUGAAGCGCGGACGCCAGUUCGUGUGGAGCCAACCUUGAAAUACCACCCUU
rnacentral:rRNA from 1 species